rnacentral:tRNA from 1 species
AUUUUUGUGGUGUAAUUAGCACGAGAGAUUUUCAAUUUUUAGGUAUAAUUUAUAUAUUUAUUUAUCAAAAAUUU